rnacentral:rRNA from 1 species
AUUGCAGAAUCCCGCGAACCAUCGAGUCUUUGAACGCAAGUUGCGCCCGAGGCCACUCGGCCGAGGGCACGCCUGCCUGGGCGUCACGCCAAAACACGCUCCCAACCACCCUCUUCGGGAAUUGGGAUGCGGCAUAUGGUCCCUCGUCCUGCAAGGGGCGGUGGGCCGAAGAUCGGGCUGCCGGCGUACCGCGUCGGACACAGCGCAUGGUGGGCGUCCUUGCUUUAUCAAUGCAGUGCAUCCGACGCGUAGACGGCAUCAUGGCCUCGAAACGACCCAUCGAACGAAGUGCACGUCGCUUCGACCGCGACCCCAGGUCAGGCGGGACUACCCGCUGAGUUUAAGCAUAUAAAUAAGCGGAGGAGAAGAAACUUACAAGGAUUCCCCUAGUAACGGCGAGCGAACCGGGAACAGCCCAGCUUGAGAAUCGGGCGGCUGUGCCGUCCGAAUU